UAAAGUUGUUGCAGUUAAAAAGCUCGUAGUCGAAUUUCGAGACCGGUUUAUUGGUCGUGCUUUUGUACGUACUGGUAUUAUUGGUUUCUCCUUUCUGACGAAUCAUAAUGCCAUUAAUUUGGUGUUUUGGGGAAUCAGGACUGUUACUUUGAAAAAAUUAGAGUGUUUAAAGCAGGCUCACGCUUGAAUACAUUAGCAUGGAAUAACGAAAUAGGACGUUUGAUUUUAUUUUGUUGGUUUCUAGGAUCGACGUAAUGAUUAAUAGGG
rnacentral:rRNA from 1 species